AAAAGGAGAAGUAAAACUAAAUUUAUUUGCAGAUGACAAUUAUCUAUGGAUAAAAUUUCAAAAUAAUAUACCAAAAAUGUCUGGUACUGUUAUAAUAAGCAGGUAUAGCAAUGUCACAAGAUGUACUACUGUUUACAUCAUGGUAAUGAAUAAUAUAAUUGGAAAUAAAAGUACCACCACCAAUAAAAGAAUACAGUAGUACACAUAAAUCUAAUAAAAUAUUUAAAGAGCAUCUGUGCAGAAAACUACAAAUGACUCAUGAAAUAAAGAAAAAAUAGACUUAAAUAAAGAUAUAUUUCAAGUUCUUGAAUAAGAAGACUCAAUAUUGCUUAGAUGUCAGUUCUUCCUAACUUGAUAUAUAAGUUCAAGACAGUACAAAUUAUAUUCACAACAGGCCUAUUUUGUACAUGUGGACAAGUGGAUUCUAAGGUUUACAUGGAAAAGGAAAAGUCUCCGAUUAAUUAAAAAAAAAAGAAACUCAAAAUUGGAAGGCUCAUAUUACCAGCUUUAAGAAAUUAUAAAGCUAGAGUAAUCAAGACUAUUUUUAACUAAUAGUGCUGGUGCAAUUGAAUGCUAAUAUGCAAAAGGAAACAAAACAAACAGACACAGAUCUAAAGACCUUGCAUAUUACAUAAAACUAAACUAAAAAUACACAAUCAUUUAUAUGUAAAAUGCAAGAUUAAAAUACUCUAGAAGAAAACAUUUUAAAAUUAUUUGUGAUCUUGGGUUUGAUGAUGAGUACUGAUAUGGUUUAACAGUAUCCCCAUCCAAAUCUUAACUUGAAUUUUAUGUCCCAGAAUUCCCAAGUGUUGUAGGAGAGACACAGUGGGAGGUAAUUGAAUCAUGGGAGCCAGCCUUUCCCAUGCUAUUGUCAUGAUAGUGAAUAAGUCUCACAAUAUCUGAUAAGUUUAUCAGGGGUUUCUGUUUUUGCCUCCUCCUCAUUUUUUCUCUUGCAGCUGCCAUAUAAGAAGUGCCUUUCACCUUCCACCAUGUUUCUGAGGCCUGCCCAGCCGUGUGGAACUUUUUCUCUUGCUGCUGCCAUGUAAGAAAUGCCUUUCAUGUCCCACCAUGAUUCUGAGGCCGCCCCAGCCAAGUGGAACUCAGUGCAAGAAUGAACUAAUACAGGCAAGACCUCACUAUGUUUCCCAGACUGGUUUGGAAUUCCUGCGCUUCAAGCCAUCCUCCUGCCUCAGCCUCUCAAAGUGCUGCUGGGAUUACAGCAGUGAAUCACAGUGCCUGAUCCUAAUGGUCUGAGUUUAAGCUGCCAUGUAAGAAGUGCUUUUCAUCUCCCGCCAUGAUUCUGAGGCCUCCCCAGCCAUGUGGAAUUAAGUGGCUUUCACCUCCUGCCAUGAUUCUGAGGCCUCCCCAGCCAUGCGGAACUGUAAGUCCAAUUAAACCUCCUUUUCUUCCCAGUCUCAGUUAUGUCUUUAUCAGCAGCAUUAAAAUGAACUAAUACAGAUGGUAUUUUUUUCUUUUUAAUGGAGUACCUGUGUUAAAACAAACAAGCAAACAAGAAAACCAAAAAAGGAAAAACACUUGACAAAUAGAGCUUAGAUAGGCCAUUAAGGGAAGGGUUCUCAGGCAUAAAUACCUGAUAUCGUAAACCAUAACAAAAGACUUGCAAAUACCACAACCUUGCAAAAAAGGCCAUGACAACUAUACACAAAAAAUGGUUCUUCAAGAACACCUGUCCAGAAACUACCUGUCCAAACUCAGACUUAAACUACCCUUGUUAUUGAUCCUUGUACCCAAGGACAAUUAUCUCAAAAGAAGUAUGUAAUUCUCCUCAUUUUUCCUUUAAAAAUCUGUCUUCCUUGACUCUCAUGAAUACACACAUAGUUUACCAUGACACACAUAUUCCCAUUGCAAUGCUCUAUUUUCAAAUAAAUAUCUUUUCUUUUAGAAAAGAAAAAAAUAGUAAUAAUUUGGAAAGUAUUGCUACCUCUACAAUAAGUCAUUUCACAUCAGAAAAAGAUACACAUUUAUUUUUAAUUUUCUUUUAUGUCCCUGAAUAGGUUUCUUUUUUUUCAUUUGUACUCUAAAAAUAUUCUAAUUAAAUUUAUUCCCAUAUGGCUUAUAUCAAUAUUCACAUGUCAUUUUUAUGAGGUUUUUUUCUAUAUAUACUAACUGGUUAUCGUAAGAAAAUAAAUUACUGAAAAUUUGUUUUAUAACCACAUGCAAAUGAAAAUCAGUAUCACUUCACCUUUUAGCAGUUGACAUAUUUGGUAAUUUUUACCUUUUGAAAAUAAUUUUGACUAAAUUUUAACUAACUGACCAGUCCUGCUGAUUCUCAUAUAUUGAUUUUUCAUGAUGUCUCUGAAUUUUAUUCCAAUUGUUCUGCAUGUUUAAAGACUCAAUAUUUUAUAUUGCCCUUUUAUUUCUCUUUAUUUGUCCUAAUUACAAUAAUAUUAGAUACUUUUUUUAGUGGUCUACUGUCACCUUUUCUAGAUUCUGAUACCAUAAUUUCCAUUACUGCAUGAUCAUAUUUUUCUAUAUCCUUGCUGUCUGCCAAGUUUAGAGCCUGAAAUAUAGCAAUUUCUCUGUGAAUGUGGCCUAAAUCAUUGACUAAACUUAAAUAACUUUUUUGUUUUUUCCCAUACUCUCUAUUGACUCUAAUUCUUUUAUGUUAGCUUUCUAUUAAAAUUAUAAUUUUAUGAUUAUUUUGUUAUUAUUUAUACACCUAUUACUAUAUUUACUAAUUCUUACAGAGUUGUUAUCGAUAUAAACAAUUUUGUUAAUAAUCUUUGAGUUUAGUGUUCAAACAAUAUGUACAAUUGUUUAGGUAUAUACAUUUCAAUCAAUCUAAAAUUUUGGUUUGAUUUUGUUUUAUUGCAAUUCUUCUCAAUAAAUAUACAAUAAGCUUGAGAAAUUUUUUAAAAAAUGAAUUAGCUACAAAAAGCAAUAUGGACUUUAAACAAUGAAUACAUAUCAUUAUAUUUGUUUUUUAGAUAUAACUAGAACGUUGAGGAGUAAGUCUGACAAGAAUAUGGUGAAAGAAAACCUAUAGGAAUCUCUUUCAAUAAAAUAAGUGUAUAAUAGUUAAAUAAAACAUAAUGAUGAAUAAAAAUUAAAAACUAACAAUAAAUAUGAACAUAUAUGUGUAUAUACAUGCUUUUAAUAAUUUAUAAACAAAAAUAUCAAUUAAUCAGAAAUAUCAAACAUCUGAGGUUGUUGAUGUUCAAAUCAUGAAGACUAAAUUUUUAAAUCGUGAAUUGAUAAAACAAAAUAAUCCAACUAAGUAUCUUAUUUAUUACCAAAUUUACAACAUGUUUUAUACUUAGGUCAAUGAAUUUGAAAACGGAGUCCAGAAAGAGAUCCAUAUACACGUGGUCAAUUAAAAUUUUAUUAAAGAUGUCAAUUUAAUGCAAUGAAGACAGAAUGCUUAUUUCAACUAAUAAUGCUGAAGCAACUGGAUAUUCUUGUAAAAAUUUAAACUCUUAUUUAUAUUUCACUUUCAGUGAGUGUUCAGUGAGAAUUGCUUUCAGCAAAUAUUAACUUUAUAAAUGUCCCAAGUGUAAAAACUAACUGUAAACAAUUUCUAGUAGAAAUAAUAUAAUUUUUGUAACAAUUGAUAUGCAAAUAUUUAUCAGACAGCACACAAAGUUCAUAUGUUAAUAGAUAAAUAUCAUCAAAAUUAGAAAUUUUACUUUUCAAAAGACAUGAUUAAUAAAAUGCAAAGGCUAGCCACAUGCAGGAAGAAAUGAGAGUUAAAAUAAAUUUUAAACUAAAUAAAUAGACAAGAACAAAAACCAAAACUUGGAAGUCACAUUAUAAAAGAUACAGAGAGC